UACAGAGGGUGCGAGCGUUAAUCGGAACUACUGGGCGUAAAGCGCACGUAGGUGGCGACGUAAGUCGGGUGUGAAAGCCCCGGGCUCAACCUGGGAAUUGCAUUCGAGACUGCAUUGCUGGAGUACGGAAGAGGAGGGCGGAAUUCCCGGUGUAGCGGUGAAAUGCGUAGAUAUCGGGAGGAACAUCAGUGGCGAAGGCGGCCCUCUGGUCCAGUACUGACACUCAAGUGCGAAAGCGUGGGGAGCAAACAGG
rnacentral:rRNA from 1 species